UUAAGCAAAGAAGAGCGCAGGGUGGAUGCCUUGGCACUAAGAGCCGAAGAAAGACGUGAUAAGCUGCGAAAAGCUGCGGGGAGAUGCAAAUAAUCCUUGAUCCGCAGAUGUCUGAAUGGGGAAACCCGGUACGAAGAACUCGUAUCAUCCAUACGCCAAUCCAUAACGUAUGGAGGGGAACCCGGUGAACUGAAACAUCUAAGUAGCCGGAGGAAGAGAAAGAAACAUCGAUUUUGUUAGUAGCGGCGAGCGAAAGCGAAAGAGGCCAAACCGGAGUGCGUGCACUCCGGGGUUCGGACCGCAUUUAAGAUUCAGUGAUUCUAGCAGAAAGGUUUGGGAAAGCCUGCCGGAGAGGGUGAAAGCCCCGUAAGCGAAAGGAAAGCUGACUGAGCGGGAUCCAGAGUACAUCGAGACACGAGAAACCUUGAUGGAAUGAGCGGGGACCACCCCGUAAGCCUAAAUACUACUUAGUGACCGAUAGCGCAUAGUACUGUGAAGGAAAGGUGAAAAGGACCCCGGGAGGGGAGUGAAAGAGAACCUGAAACCCUGUGUUUACAAGCUGUGGAAGUUCUUUAAAUGAACAACCGCGUACUUUUUGUAGAACGGUCCGGCGAGUUGCGGAUACUGGCAAGGUUAAGCACUUAAGGUGCGGAGCCGAAGGGAUACCAAGUCUUAACAGGGCGUUAAGUCAGUAUACGCAGACCCGAAACCGGGUGAUCUAUCCAUGUCCAGGUUGAAGUUGUCGUAAAAGACAAUGGAGGACCGAAGCCACAUCCGUUGAAAAGGGUGGGCAUGAGGUGUGGAUAGGGGAGAAAUUCCAAUCGAACCCGGAGAUAGCUGGUUCUCCUCGAAAUAGCUUUAGGGCUAGCCUCGAUUUAGUCUUAUGGAGGUAGAGCACUGAAUUUCCGCGGGGGCGUCAAAGCUUACCAAAGAAUAUCAAACUCCGAAUGCCAUGUAGAUGAUGAUCGGGAGUCAGACUGCACGAGAUAAGUUGGGCAGUCAAAAGGGAAAGAGCCCAGACCACCGGCUAAGGUCCCAAAGUGCGUGUUAAGUGGAAAAGGAUGUGGGAAUUCGAAGACAACUAGGAUGUUGGCUCAGAAGCAGCCAUACAUUCAAAGAGUGCGUAACAGCUCACUAGUCGAGAGUUCCUGCGCCGAAAAUGUCCGGGGCUGAAACACGACACCGAAGCCGUGGACUCGCAAUGCGAGUGGUAGAGGAGCAUUCUUAAAACCGACGAAGCUGUACCGAAAGGAGCAGUGGAGGGAUAAGAAGAGAGAAUGCCGGAAUGAGUAGCGAGAGAAAGGUGGGAAUCCUUUCGGCCGAAUAUCUAAGGUUUCCAGAGUAAAGCUGAUCUGCUCUGGGUAAGUCGGGGCCUAAGCACAGGUCGCAAGACGUAAGCGAUGGAUAACAGGUUUAGAUUCCUGUACCACGCAUUAUCAGAACUGUAGGGACGCAUGUGGAAAGCACGAGCCGGGAAUGGAAAGACCGGUACAAGCGGGGUAGGUGUACAAUAGGCAAAUCCGUUGUAUAAUCCGAAGACGUGAUGUGGAGCGAAAUAAAGUAGCAAAGCGUGUGAGCCAUGUGCCGAGAAAAGCUGCUAUUGUGUAAUGCGUGCCCGUACCGUAAACCGACACAGGUGGAUGAGGAGAGAAUCCUAAGGCCGACGGAAGAAGCAUUGUUAAGGAAUUCGGCAAAAUGACCCCGUAACUUCGGGAGAAGGGGUGCCUGCGAGAGCAGGCCGCAGAGAAUAGGCUCAAGCAACUGUUUAGCAAAAACACAGGUCUAUGCGAAACCGAAAGGUGAAGUAUAUGGGCUGACGCCUGCCCGGUGCUGGAAGGUUAAGAGGAGAGGUUAGCUUCGGCGAAGCUUUGAAUUUAAGCCCCAGUAAACGGCGGCCGUAACUAUAACGGUCCUAAGGUAGCGAAAUUCCUUGUCGGGUAAGUUCCGACCCGCACGAAAGGCGUAAUGAUUUGAGCACUGUCUCGACAAUGCAUCCGGUGAAAUUGAAGUACCAGUGAAGAUGCUGGUUACCCGCGCCAGGACGGAAAGACCCCAUGGAGCUUUACUCCAGUUUGAUACUGGGAUUCGGUACUGCAUGUACAGGAUAGGUGGGAGACGAAGAAGGAUGGACGCCAGUCUGUCCGGAGUCGCUGUUGGGAUACCACCCCUGUAGUACUGGGUUUCUAACCAGUUGCCAUGAACUGGCAAUGGGACAAUGUCAGGCGGGGAGUUUGACUGGGGCGGUCGCCUCCGAAAGGGUAUCGGAGGCGCUCAAAGGUUCCCUCAGAAUGGUUGGAAACCAUUCGAAGAGUGCAAAGGCAGAAGGGAGCUUGACUGCGACACCGACGGGUGGAGCAGGUACGAAAGUAGGACUUAGUGAUCCGGUGGUAUAAAGUGGGAUUGCCAUCGCUCAACGGAUAAAAGCUACCCUGGGGAUAACAGGCUUAUCACUCCCAAGAGUUCACAUCGACGGAGUGGUUUGGCACCUCGAUGUCGGCUCAUCGCAUCCUGGGGCUGUAGCAGGUCCCAAGGGUUGGGCUGUUCGCCCAUUAAAGCGGUACGCGAGCUGGGUUCAGAACGUCGUGAGACAGUUCGGUCCCUAUCCGGCGCGGGCGGAGGAUAUUUGAGAGGAGCUGUCCUUAGUACGAGAGGACCGGGAUGGACGGACCACUGGUGUAUCUGUUGUCGACCAACGGCAUGGCAGAGUAGCCAAGUCUGGAAGGGAUAAACGCUGAAGGCAUCUAAGCGUGAAGCCCCCCUCAAGAUGAGAUAUCCCUCCUUCGGGAGUAAGACCCCUUGAAGACUACAAGGUAGAUAGGGCAGAGGUGGAAGCAUGGCAACAUGUGGAGCUGACUGUUACUAAUAGGUCGAGGGCUUAAUCU
rnacentral:rRNA from 1 species